rnacentral:tRNA from 1 species
AGCUCUCUGGUGAAAUAUCACAUUGAUUUGCAAAUUCAAAGAAGCAGCUUCAAAUACUGGCAGGGCUU